UACGUAGGGUGCGAGCGUUAAUCGGAAUUACUGGGCGUAAAGCGUGCGCAGGCGGCUUUGUAAGCCAGAUGUGAAAUCCCCGGGCUUAACCUGGGAAUGGCAUUUGGGACUGCAAGGCUUGAGUGCGGCAGAGGAGACUGGAAUUCCUGGUGUAGCAGUGAAAUGCGUAGAUAUCAAGAGGAACACCUGAGGUGAAGACGGGUUGCUGGGCUGACACUGACGCUGAGGCGCGAAAGCCAGGGGAGCAAACGGG
rnacentral:rRNA from 1 species